GCCUUCGUGGUGUAGUGGUCAGCACGCUCGACGCGUAACCGAGAGGUCCGUGGUUCGAUUCUCGGCGAAGGCG
rfam:Stegodyphus mimosarum contig41953, whole genome shotgun sequence.